GAUGAACGCUGGCGGCGUGCCUAAUACAUGCAAGUCGAGCGAACAGAUGAGGAGCUUGCUCCUCUGACGUUAGCGGCGGACGGGUGAGUAACACGUGGAUAACCUACCUAUAAGACUGGGAUAACUUCGGGAAACCGGAGCUAAUACCGGAUAAUAUAUUGAACCGCAUGGUUCAAUAGUGAAAGACGGUUUUGCUGUCACUUAUAGAUGGAUCCGCGCCGCAUUAGCUACUUGGUAAGGUAACGGCUUACCAAGGCAACGAUGCGUAGCCGACCUGAGAGGGUGAUCGGCCACACUGGAACUGAGACACGGUCCAGACUCCUACGGGAGGCAGCAGUAGGGAAUCUUCCGCAAUGGGCGAAAGCCUGACGGAGCAACGCCGCGUGAGUGAUGAAGGUCUUCGGAUCGUAAAACUCUGUUAUUAGGGAAGAACAAAUGUGUAAGUAACUAUGCACGUCUUGACGGUACCUAAUCAGAAAGCCACGGCUAACUACGUG
rnacentral:rRNA from 1 species